UAAAGAAUUUCGGUUAUCGAUGGGGAUGCGUUCCAUUAGUUAGUUGGCGGGGUAACGGCCCACCAAGACGACGAUGGAUAGGGGUUCUGAGAGGAAGGUCCCCCACAUUGGAACUGAGACACGGUCCAAACUCCUACGGGAGGCAGCAGUGAGGAAUAUUGGUCAAUGGACGAGAGUCUGAACCAGCCAAGUAGCGUGAAGGAUGACUGCCCUAUGGGUUGUAAACUUCUUUUAUAUGGGAAUAAAACAGGGUAUGCAUACCCUCUUGUAUGUACCAUAUGAAUAAGGAUCGGCUAACUCCGUGCCAGCAGCCGCGGUAAUACGGAGGAUCCGAGCGUUAUCCGGAUUUAUUGGGUUUAAAGGGAGCGUAGGUGGAUUGUUAAGUCAGUUGUGAAAGUUUGCGGCUCAACCGUAAAAUUGCAGUUGAAACUGGCAGUCUUGAGUACAGUAGAGGUGGGCGGAAUUCGUGGUGUAGCGGUGAAAUGCUUAGAUAUCACGAAGAACUCCGAUUGCGAAGGCAGCUCACUGGACUGCAACUGACACUGAUGCUCGAAAGUGUGGGUAUCAAACAGGAUUAGAUACCCUGGUAGUCCACACAGUAAA
rnacentral:rRNA from 1 species